GAUGAACGCUGGCGGCGUGCCUAAUACAUGCAAGUCGAGCGAACAGACGAGGAGCUUGCUCCUCUGACGUUAGCGGCGGACGGGUGAGUAACACGUGGAUAACCUACCUAUAAGACUGGGAUAACUUCGGGAAACCGGAGCUAAUACCGGAUAAUAUAUUGAACCGCAUGGUUCAAUAGUGAAAGACGGUUUUGCUGUCACUUAUAGAUGGAUCCGCGCCGCAUUAGCUAUUUGGUAAGGUAACGGCUUACCAAGGCAACGAUGCGUAGCGGACCUGAGAGGGUGAUCGGCCAAACUGGAACUGAGACACGGUCCAGACUCCUACGGGAGGCAGCAGUAGGGAAUCUUCCGCAAUGGGCGAAAGCUUGACGGAGAAACGCCGCGUGAGUGAUGAAGGUCUUCGGAUCGUAAAACUCUGUUAUUAGGGAAGAACAAAUGUGUAAGUAAAUAUGCACGUCUUGACGGUACCUAAUCAGAAAGCCACGGCUAACUACGUG
rnacentral:rRNA from 1 species